rnacentral:rRNA from 1 species
ACACGACUACAUUAGAUACCCCUGUAGUCCUAGCCGUAAACGAUACUCGCUAGGUGUCGGCCACGGUGCGACCGUUGUCGGUGCCGUAGGGAAGCCGUGAAGCGAGCCACCUGGGAAGUACGGCCGCAAGGCUGAAACUUAAAGGAAUUGGCGGGGGGAGCACAACAACGGGUGGAGCUUGCGGUUUAAUUGGACUCAACGCCGGGAAGCUUACCGGAUAAGACAGCGGAAUGAUUGCCGGGCUGAAGACUCUGCAUGACCAGCUG